CGCCCUCGACCGAGCGCACGGCCCGGUUGCCCGGCGUCGCGGUGCCUCAGAUGGAAACACUAAGGACGGCAGCACGGACGGUUGGCGCGAGAGGCCAGAUCGUUCCUGGUGAAGCAACUCGUACCUGGGUUUCUCGCGGCGGCCCUGGACCCUGUGGUGGACCACGCCUUCCAUCACCCGCUACUCGUGUUCCAGGCUAAAGAAGACUAGAAAGGCCAGAGGAUCAGUGCGAUCUAAAAGAAAAAGAAAAAGAAAAAAGCACCACCAAGCUGUCCUGGUACCUGGAUUUCAGACUUCUCAGGUAACUCAGAAGCCUCAGAUCGUCUCCACUUUCAUAAAGGAUGCCAGACUAGAUUUUUAUCUAAAGACCCCCACAUCUUUAAAAUUCUAUGUUUAGAUUCUCCAUUAUUUCUCCUCUACUCAUGCAUGUCAGAUUAUAAUCUUUCUCUAAGGGGUAGAAGGAAGUAGAGACUAUAUGCAGUCCUUUUUUUUUUUUCUAUUAAAUUCUUGCACUUUCUCUCAACAAAGAUAAUUUCUAUCUUUGGGGAAAAUUUCAUCUUUCCUCACAUUUAUGAAUUGACCGCUUUAAAACUCGAUGUCAUAUGUGUGUUUGCUUUAUUAAUGAUUAGCAACAACUUUAAAUAGAAAUCUUAUUCAAGUUCAAAGUUGUUAAUCACUUACCAAAGAAAGGAAUAUUUUGUUAAGAAAUUUGCAAAGAAAAAAAAAAAAAAAAGAAA